rnacentral:rRNA from 1 species
AGCGAACGCUGGCGGCAGGCCUAACACAUGCAAGUCGAACGAACUCUUCGGAGUUAGUGGCGGACGGGUGAGUAACACGUGGGAACGUGCCUUUAGGUUCGGAAUAACUCAGGGAAACUUGUGCUAAUACCGAAUGUGCCCUUCGGGGGAAAGAUUUAUCGCCUUUAGAGCGGCCCGCGUCUGAUUAGCUAGCUGGUGAGGUAAAGGCUCACCAAGGCGACGAUCAGUAGCUGGUCUGAGAGGAUGAUCAGCCACAUUGGGACUGAGACACGGCCCAAACUCCUACGGGAGGCAGCAGUGGGGGAUCUUGCGCAAUGGGCGAAAGCCUGACGCAGCCAUGCCGCGUGAAUGAUGAAGGUCUUAGGAUUGUAAAAUUCUUUCACCGGGGACGAUAAUGACGGUACCCGGAGAAGAAGCCCCGGCUAACUUCGUGCCAGCAGCCGCCGUAA